rnacentral:rRNA from 1 species
UACGGAGGGUGCAAGCGUUGCUCGGAAUCAUUGGGCGUAAAGCGUGCGCAGGCGGUUCGCCAAGUCCGGUGUGAAAUCCCCGGGCUUAACCUGGGAAUUGCGCUUGAAACUAGCGGGCUUGAGUGUGGCAGAGGGGGGUGGAAUUCCACGUGUAGCAGUGAAAUGCGUAGAGAUGUGGAGGAAUACCGAUGGCGAAGGCAGCCUCCUGGGCCAACACUGACGCUCAUGCACGAAAGCGUGGGGAGCAAACAGG